CCUGAGUGUCCUGGUCACCUCCAGGCUUGGAAAGCUGUAUGACUGCUGCUUCUGUCAUUGAACGACCAAGGGAAACAUUCGUGCUUCCCUAAUGCUGGCCUCCCGGGGGGAGUGUGUUUUAGGAGAUGGGCAGUCUGAUUGAGUCAAACGGUACACACAUCACGGGCCAGUUAAUCCUGGGACUUUACCUAUCAAUGAGGCUCUGACCUCAUGGGAGAAAAGAUCUCCUAUUUGGAGACAGUCCUGCAGCGCAAAAGAUUCUCUCUCUCUUCUUUGGUGGGCCCUUAGAAACCUUCAGAUCCUUGCAGCCCUGCAGAGACCACUGCUUUGUGUAGACAAAGCUAAAGCCAGAACUGGGACUGAGUUACAACCAGGGAACCAUGGUGUGGCAGCUGGAUUGCUGAAGACAUUGAGCCAAGACAGAGCCACCCUUCAGUCCCUGGGGAAUCUGGAUCAUCUCUAUAUUCAGGGCCAAUGUAGGCCAGCCAGUCAGCUCUGCAUCCUCAGGCAAAGGAACUGGAAAAAGAAGCCACAGACCAUGCUUGCAUGUGUGUAUGUGAAUUGACCUUAUCUUAGGGAUGAAAAAAAAUCUCUGUAUAUACUUUUAGAUAAGGAUGGGCC
rnacentral:lncRNA from 1 species